rnacentral:rRNA from 1 species
GGUGAACGCUAGCGGCAGGCCUAACACAUGCAAGUCGAGGGGUAACAUAGGAAAGCUUGCUUUUCUGAUGACGACCGGCGCACGGGUGCGUAACGCGUAUACAACCUACCUUUUAGCGGGGAAUAGCCCAGGGAAACUUGGAUUAAUGCCCCAUAGUAUAUAGACUUCUCCUGAAGUUCAUAUUAAACAUUUAUGGCUAUUAGAUGGGUAUGCGUCCUAUUAGUUAGUUGGUAAGGUAACGGCUUACCAAGGCAGCGAUAGGUAGGGGUCCUGAGAGGGAGAUCCCCACACUGGUACUGAGACACGGACCAGACUCCUACGGGAGGCAGCAGUGAGGAAUAUUGGACAAUGGGCGAGAGCCUGAUCCAGCCAUGCCGCGUGCAGGAAGACUGCCCUAUGGGUUGUAAACUGCUUUUACAGAGGAAGAACCACCCCCACGUGUGGGGGUUUGACGGUACUCUGCGAAUAAGGAUCGGCUAACUCCGUG